rnacentral:rRNA from 1 species
AUACGGAGGGUGCAAGCGUUACUCGGAAUCACUGGGCGUAAAGCGCGCGCAGGCGGCUAUUUAGGUUGGAUGUGAAAGCCUACGGCUCAACCGUAGAACUGCAUCCAAAACUAUUUAGCUAGAGUGUGGGAGAGGAAGAUGGAAUUAGUUGUGUAGGGGUAAAAUCCGUAGAGAUAACUAGGAAUACCAAAAGCGAAGGCAAUCUUCUGGAACACUACUGACGCUGAGGCGCGAAAGCGUGGGGAGCAAACGGGAUUAGAAACCCUAGUAGUCC